UACAGGGGGUGCAAACGUUGCUCGGAAUCAUUGGGCGUAAAGCGCACGUAGGCGGUUCGUUAUGUCGGAUGUGAAAGCCCUUGGCUUAACCGAGGAAGUGCAUCCGAAACUGGCGAGCUAGAGUACGAAAAGAGGAUCGCGGAAUUCCCGGUGUAGAGGUGAAAUUCGUAGAUAUCGGGAGGAACACCGGUGGCGAAGGCGGCGAUCUGGGUCGAUACUGACGCUGAGGAGCGAAAGCCAGGGGAGCAAACGGG
rnacentral:rRNA from 1 species